UGCAGUCGAACGGUGAAGAGAGCUUGCUCUCUGGAUCAGUGGCGAACGGGUGAGUAACACGUGAGCAAUCUGCCCCUGACUCUGGGAUAAGCGCUGGAAACGGCGUCUAAUACCGGAUACGAGCUGCGAAGGCAUCUUCAGCAGCUGGAAAGAACUUCGGUCAGGGAUGAGCUCGCGGCCUAUCAGCUAGUUGGUGAGGUAAUGGCUCACCAAGGCGUCGACGGGUAGCCGGCCUGAGAGGGUGACCGGCCACACUGGGACUGAGACACGGCCCAGACUCCUACGGGAGGCAGCAGUGGGGAAUAUUGCACAAUGGGCGCAAGCCUGAUGCAGCAACGCCGCGUGAGGGACGACGGCCUUCGGGUUGUAAACCUCUUUUAGCAGGGAAGAAGCGAAAGUGACGGUACCUGCAGAAAAAGCGCCGGCUAACUACGUGCCAGCAGCCGCGGUAAUACGUAGGGCGCAAGCGUUAUCCGGAAUUAUUGGGCGUAAAGAGCUCGUAGGCGGUUUGUCGCGUCUGCUGUGAAAACCCGAGGCUCAACCUCGGGCCUGCAGUGGGUACGGGCAGACUAGAGUGCGGUAGGGGAGAUUGGAAUUCCUGGUGUAGCGGUGGAAUGCGCAGAUAUCAGGAGGAACACCGAUGGCGAAGGCAGAUCUCUGGGCCGUAACUGACGCUGAGGAGCGAAAGGGUGGGGAGCAAACAGGCUUAGAUACCCUGGUAGUCCACCCCGUAAACGUUGGGAACUAGUUGUGGGGUCCAUUCCACGGAUUCCGUGACGCAGCUAACGCAUUAAGUUCCCCGCCUGGGGGAGUACGGCCGCAAGGCUAAAACUCAAAGGAAUUGACGGGGACCCGCACAAGCGGCGGAGCAUGCGGAUUAAUUCGAUGCAACGCGAAGAACCUUACCAAGGGCUUGACAUAUACGAGACGCUGCAGAAAUGUAGAACUCUUUGGACACUCGUAAA
rnacentral:rRNA from 1 species